rnacentral:rRNA from 1 species
AGUGAACGCUGGCGGCGUGCCUAAUACAUGCAAGUCGAGCGGACGCACAGGAAGCUCUUUUCUCUGAGGUUAGCGAGUGACGGGUGGGUAACAAAUGCAUAGCCUACUACUUAUACGUGGGUAACUUCGUGGAACCGUAGCUACUAACACAUAAUAUUUUCAACCGCAUAGUUCAAAAGUGAUACACACUUUUCCUGACACUUAUAGAUGAUUCCGCGUUGCAUAAGCUAGUUGGUAAGGUAACGGCUUACCAAGGCAACGAUGCAUAGCCGACCUGAGAGGGUGAUCGGCCACACUGGAACUGAGACACGGUCCAGACUCCUACGGGAGGCAGCAGUAGGGAAUCUUCCGCAAUGGGCGAAAGCCUGACGCAGCAACGCCGCGUGAGUGAUGAAGGUCUUCGGAUCGUAAAGCUCUGUUAUUAGGGAAGAACAUAUGUGUAAGUAACUGUGCACAUCUUGACGGUACCUAAACAGAAAGCAACGGCUAACUACGUG